CCGUUCUUCAGAGAGCUACAGCCCAAGCCACCCCAGGAAUUUCAAAUCAACGGUCACAGAAUGGAACCCAGGAGGAGUUGCGUCUUGUGGGACCAAAUGGACAGAAACAUACACAGCCCAGAUGCAACUGAAGGCCAUUUUCUGCUUCUCUAUACAGAUAAGAACGCUUCGGAGUUUUUAUGAAAACCCACAGUUCCGUCUGUCUCGUGAGAAGCGCUGCCUUUACAUUAAAAACAAAAAUGAACCAGGCGGAGGAGGUGUCUGGGGAGCCUGAUACAGAUCAGGAAACGGGGUUCAGGGAGUGACCUGACUUGAUUGGAGAUUAACCUCAAAACUGUCACUUCGAAUUACUGCUUUUUAAAACAGUGUAAACAUUCACUGUUGCUGUGAGGAUCCACAACGUUUUCUUACAAAGAGAUUUCAUCUGCAGGAUUUCAUCUGCAGGUUUCCUCUACUCUGAUGUGAUAGGAAAGCCAACAAUAAACGCACAGCUCAGAUUAAAACUGCCUCCGUGCAACUUUGGAGGAACGGAAUCUUUAAUAAGAGUGAGCUGAUUGGCAUGUUUUAAGAAAAGCAAUUAUCUUUUCAUGAAGGGGGAAGAAAAGCAAAUUAGUCAAAAUGGCCAGCUUCUACUUGAACGCCGUGGGCUCUCUCCACCUGUUCUGAGCAGCCUGCAACAGGACGCACGAAGGGAGAACACUGGGUCCCACGCCCUGUCCCGGGCUGGCACGGGAAGCACGCUCAUGGCAGCUUUUCAUUGGCUCUUGUCUAGCGAACAUUUAUUCUGCAGGAAAUGCACACACACUCAUUGGCCAUCUGCACACCAGACGUGGCUUCCUUCGGUUCCUCUCUACGGCCUGCAACUCUGUGAAGAUCUGAGCUGCGUCCACCGAGCAGGGUGCUUCCAUGGUGGAUUUUAAAGCCGGCAGGAUUCCCAUGUUGUGGGGUAUGCAAUUGCUCUGAUUCAAUCCGCUAUACAGGCUAACCACGUCCUUUCAAAAAUCUAACAAAGCAAAAAGCAUCUGUGAAUUUGGUUGCAAUCAUAGCUGAGCCCUCCUCUGUUUAUCUACCCAGGAUGAUAAAACCUCCAGGUGCCGGUUCUAGUUUAUUUUUCUUUCCUUUAACUCAUAAUGCAAACACACUGAAUUGAUGGUUGUAAGAAAGUAGUAUCUUUGAGGUUUUAAGGCACUCUUAAAAUAAAAACCAGGAAAUUCCAAGAUCUGAGUGCUCAUAAACUACAUACGUGUACAAUUUUUAUCCUUGAAUGAAUUUUCUAUGCUCCUAGAGCGAGAAUACAGAUUAAGGCUCCACUGAAACCAAAUCCAGCAAAGUCGGAAAGUAGUAUUGUCUUUUGCCACAAGAGGGGGCUAGAGAAUUCCGAUCGCUUCCAAGGUCUAUAAAACCCUUUUAACUGCUACUUUAUAGACACUCAAUUACAACAGGCCAUAACGCAUUAAAGCAUUAAAACACACAUCCAUUCCAGCAUAUGCCAAGCAGGCACUGGGGUCGGCAGCCGAUCCUAACGCCGGCGUCAAGUAAACUCUCGGGGGCUUCCAGGGCUUCCCAGUUUCCUCCCUGGCACUGCCCUCCCCAAAACGAGGGCCCCCCAGUUAGAUGACCCCCUUGGAGUGGCACAUUCCCAGGAAUCUGCAGAGUGUGGCGGGGUGGCACGAGGUAGAGAUGGCGAGGAUGGCAGUUUAUGGAGCUUGGAAGCGCAGGGAGGCCAGGUUCCCUGGGCACUGGCAAGCGUCUUUAGGGGUGAUGAUGGUCAGAGCUCGGGACCCAGCUCACUCUGUGUUUUAGCAUUAAGAAAAAGCUAAGAUCACAUGGUGAAAUAACGUGAUUAUAAAAUUAUGCCUCCUCACGGCUCCCCAUGCAAAAAUACUACAGCACACCAGCUACGUUCUAGCCGCUUAGAGAAUUGCUCGGCAAAUUGGAUAAAGGCUUUUAUAAGUGAAAACUUCCCCGGGAAGAAAAACUCCCCCAUAAAUCUCAAUCUUUUACAAGCUAGAGGAUCCAUUCUGCAUAAUCUUUCUCUCCUCCUAGACGCAUGUAUCUGGGUUUAAUCCACUUAGGGGCCAACAUGAAGAAGAGGCUGUCAUCAAAGUGGGAAAGCGGCCUGGAGCAGGGGUCCAUGCCUCCAGGACUCGAGGGACGACAGGCUGACGGUUAAAAUCACCCCAAGACCCCGAAAUCUUAGAGCUUCAGAAGGGGAGCACCCAAGGUAACACAGCAAAGCUCAGCGAGAGUCAGGACUCCAAGCAAAUGCUGCCUUUAACUUGGCGUUUGUAGACCAUAAGCGCAGGGAAUCAGGCAUGGUAGGCAAGAUCUUCCGAGCAACAGCAGGCCACACGGACACCUGUGAUAAUCACCCACUCGAACACACCGGCAUUAAACUUCCUGAAUUCAGAGUUUGCACUCGAGGCCUUCUAUAAAAGUUUACGCUCACCUGCCAGGUCACUCAUUUAAAAACUGACCCUCUGCACUUAAAGCCCACCGCUGUUACGUCAGUUCCACAGUGGUGUUGCCCCUUUCAGAGGGUGGACCUUUAUUCCUGGCCCCCAGUCUGGAAAUGACUUCCAAAAACACUCUGGCCAGAAGCCAGAUCAAAUAUUAUUUUAACUUUCUUCCAAGCUACGGCUGGUCCAGCCAGUGAGUCUUUGCUACAAACCCCUCCUGGUCACCAGCGUGCGAUCACGCACUCUGUCCUUCCCCGUGUGGGUUCCCACGUCUCCCCUCUCCAGCGAGAGUGUUCGUUCACUGAGGAAUCACGUCUUCCUCCUCUUUUGUAUCCUCCAAAAUCACUAAACUUGUGAUCACACAAGGGCAUUCAAUGGAGGUAUUCAGUAACUAACUUUAUUAGCAGAAUAUGGAAAUCUAUAGCAUGGAUGAGCAGGCCCAAAAGAUAGCUAAUUAGUCCUGCGUCCAGCCCAUCGAGGGACUUGUUAGGGGGCACUCAUAACUGUAACCGGUAGAAUGGACAGAGCUUCGGGAAGGGGCAUUCCCUCGAGGUGGCCUGGGGUUUUGUUGCAUGUUGGCUGUAGGACCCAGACUCGCUGAGUCUUCGAAAUUAUCAAAAUCAGCAUCUUUGGGAAACAGAGACAAGAGGGGCGGAUGUCCAAGUUCCUCCCAGCCCAGAAGCCAAAGUCCAGUGCUGGGCAAGGGGCGGGGUUUACUCGGGUCCCUGAGGCUGGCUGUGUCAUGCCGAAGGGUGAAAAAUGGGUCAUUCAUCGACAGAUAAUUGUUAUUGUUUUUUAAUUCUUCACAAAACAUGUAUAAUCCUUGGCGAUCAUCUGUUUAAGUUAUAUAAAUUACUGUCAACUGCGAAACCCGGAUUGUCAUCUUCCACUGUGAUUUAUACCAGACUGUAUAAACGACAUGGUGUCUUAGAUCUAAUAAGACAUUCAUCUUCAUGAAGGAGGCCACUGCGACGCUGAGUGACAGUUUACUUACCCCUGUCACCGUUAACACGGAAUCUUGAAUUCCUCCCAGGGACCUCAAGUUGGAUGGAGUCACCCGAAGCCAACAAAAACUCGCUCAGAAAUCCACCGCGCUGCUAAUGUGGUGUUUCACUGCGAAUUUUGUUCUUGGGCUCCCCAAACAUACACAAGGACCAGUUUCAUGUUGCUCUGGAGUGUGAGCCUCCAAUACACUCGUGUAACUUCCCCUGGGGUAGAUGGUGGUCAUCACCUUCCUAAAGAGACUGUGUCUCCAGCUAGCCACAA